rnacentral:rRNA from 1 species
UACGAAGGGGGCUAGCGUUGCUCGGAAUCACUGGGCGUAAAGCGCACGUAGGCGGCUUUUUAAGUCAGGGGUGAAAUCCUGGAGCUCAACUCCAGAACUGCCUUUGAUACUGAGAAGCUUGAGUCCGGGAGAGGUGAGUGGAACUGCGAGUGUAGAGGUGAAAUUCGUAGAUAUUCGAAAGAACACCAGUGGCGAAGGCGGCUCACUGGCCCGGUACUGACGCUGAGGUGCGAAAGCGUGGGGAGCAAACAGG